UUCAUCGGCCUUGGCAUUUUUUGUAUAAGUGUUUCUUUACCUGUUCGGCAGCCCCCGGAGCCCCGGGGCCCCCCAGACACCCGUCUGGUCAUGGAGUCGUCUGCACUUUGAAGAAAAUGGGACCAACGUGACAAGUCGCUGCCUUUGUCGGUCAAGGCCAAGAUACACAGCAGCAAAUGUCAGCCAGAGACGGGGCCCCUGGAAUAGGGGGGCUGCUGCGCCUGAACAUUCUGCAUAAUUGGAAGGCGAGGUUAACAGCAAUAAGGAAAAUGAACACGGACGUCCAACGGUUUAUGAAGCAGAUGCUGGAAAGUAAAUAGAGCGGAGGGCGUCCAACUAGCUCAGCCGGAGCCUGUUAUUUAUUUUUUUAGAGUGACGGAAUAACACGGGGGCGGGGGAGCGGGAGGGCCGCGUGUUUGGGGAAAGUCACGGCCGUGGAGUCGGGCCCAGGACUCGGGCUGAAGUCCAGCUGCCUCCACCCCAGCUGUGUGGCCCUUGGCGGGGGCCCCAGCUGACCUCUUCCCAGGGUGAAGGAGUGGAACGUCACUGAUGGGAAGCUUUUCUGUUUUAGGGGCCAUCGGAGGGUCAACAACACACAGGAGACAAGACGACUUGGGGGUUUUCUUGACAAACCGUACAUGGCACAUCCGCUGCUACUAGCCCGCUCCUGGGAAGUAUCUCACCGAAGUCACUUAUCAACCCCAUGGGUGGACCAGAAAUAUGGAUGGUUUGGGAGCUACCAGGCUCUUACCGUCCCAGAGAUCCCCGGAAUGACACCAUCAUGAACAGAGCUCAAGUUAACAGGGUCCUGAUGACACUGUUGGAGCCCCUGACUCCAUCGGUACCUGGAGACUGACCUCUGAGGUUUUCAGUUAUAUGAGUCAACACAUUUUACUCUUGCUCAAAUCAGUUCCAAUUGAGUGUCUCUUGCAAUUUACUACAUUAAACUUUAAAACCUCUGCAUAGCGAAGGAUGCCAUUAAAUAUUUAAAAAUAUAUGCCCAAAG
rnacentral:lncRNA from 1 species